rnacentral:ncRNA from 1 species
CCGGACAUCUUGGACGGGCCGCACCGAACAAAGCGACCCGACCCCACGCACAA